UACGAAGGGGGCAAGCGUUGUCCGGAAUCACUGGGCGUAAAGCGCACGUAGGCGGCUCGUUAAGUCUGGGGUGAAAUCCCGGAGCUCAACUCCAGAACUGCCUUUGAUACUGGCGAUCUUGAGUCCGGGAGAGGUGAGUGGAACUCCGAGUGUAGAGGUGAAAUUCGUAGAUAUCAGGAGGAACACCAAUGGCGAAGGCGGCUCGCUGGAACGGUACUGACGCUGAGGCGCGAAAGCGUGGGGAGCAAACAGG
rnacentral:rRNA from 1 species